rnacentral:rRNA from 1 species
GAUGAACGCUAGCGAUAGGCCUAACACAUGCAAGUCGAGGGGCAUCACGGAGUAGCAAUACUUUGGUGGCGACCGGCGCACGGGUGAGUAACGCGUAUGCAAUCUACCUACAACAGGGGGAUAACCCGGAGAAAUCCGGACUACUACCGCAUAACACAGGGGUCCCGCAUGGGAAUAUUUGUUAAAGAUUUAUCGGUAGUAGAUGAGCAUGCGUUCCAUUAGGUAGUUGGUGAGGUAACGGCCCACCAAGCCUGCGAUGGAUAGGGGAACUGAGAGGUUUGUCCCCCACACUGGAACUGAGACACGGACCAGACUCCUACGGGAGGCAGCAGUGAGGAAUAUUGGUCAAUGGGCGAGAGCCUGAACCAGCCAAAUCGCGUGAAGGAAGACUGCCUUAUGGGUUGUAAACUUCUUUUGUACAGGAAUAAAAAGAGGGACGUGUCCUUCAUUGCGUGUACUGUACGAAUAAGCAUCGGCUAACUCCGUGCCAGCCGCCGCGGUAA